CUGGAAGACAAUUUAAACUUCAAGCAGUAUUGACUUACCUAUGAAUCACUUAGUAUAUAUGAGCUUCUCAGAGAAGAAAUCAUAAACAUUGAGAGUUGCCAUGCAUAAUGAUGACCUUCAACACAUAUGAAAGAAAUCACCGAGAAUUGGAAGUUGGCUGAUAGAACUGACAUCAGAAAGACCAUUCAAAACGAAGAGCCAGUGUCAAGAUCCUGUAUACCCUUCCUGCCAUUACUCCCAAAGUAGCCUUUUCAUGGAUCCAGCUUUCAGGAUCUGUAAAGAGACACAACUGUUUUAUAGUUCGAUUGGAACUGGGGAGGAGUUUGAAAGAAUCACAGUAAGCCCUCUGGUCUUUUCCAGGAGGAUAAUCAACAACAUUGACUGAUUAUGUUU